GAUGAACGCUGGCGGCGUGCCUAAUACAUGCAAGUCGAGCGAACAGACGAGGAGCUUGCUCCUCUGACGUUAGCGGCGGACGGGUGAGUAACACGUGGAUAACCUACCUAUAAGACUGGGAUAACUUCGGGAAACCGGAGCUAAUACCGGAUAAUAUAUUGAACCGCAUGGUUCAAUAGUGAAAGACGGUUUUGCUGUCACUUAUAGAUGGAUCCGCGCCGCAUUAGCUAGUUGGUAAGGUAACGGCUUACCAAGGCAACGAUGCGUAGCCGACCUGAGAGGGUGAUCGGCCACACUGUAACUGAGACACGUUCCAGACUCCUACGGGAGGCAGCAGUAGGGAAUCUUCCGCAAUGGGCGAAAGCCUGACGGAGCAACGCCGCGUGAAUGAUGAAGGUCUUCGGAUCGUAAAACUCUGUUAUUAGGGAAGAACAAAUGUGUAAGUAACUAUGCACGUCUUGACGGUACCUAAUCAGAAAGCCACGGCUAACUACGUG
rnacentral:rRNA from 1 species